rnacentral:misc_RNA from 1 species
AAUUCUCAAACCUCUCAAAUUUAGAGGAGAGAGGGUUUGGACUUGGAGUGUGCUGGGUCAUGUCAGCUCCUCUUAAAUGCAUUAGCUUGUACUCUUGUGGAUGGGCUUUGGUUUGAUAAUAUCUAUGCCAUUGCUGUGAAACAAAUAUCAGCUUCUAACACCCCAUACUUUAUUAUAU